GAGUCUUCCAGCUGAGCCUCUAAGACAGUGUGGAGCUGAGGUUGCUUGUGCUCACUGUGUCCUGUUCAAAUUCCCGACCUAAUGAAUCCAUGAGCCUAAUAAGGAAUGAUUGUUGUGUUCCAUUAUGUUUUGGGGUAAUUUGUUACACAGCAAUAGGAACAAGGUACAUAAGUUAUUUUAUUGAAGUUCAGGUGGAUUUAAAUAGAGCAAUGGAAUGGCAAUGUUUACAAAACUGUGCCAUCCUUCCUCCCCUGUGUCCCUGGCAUCUGGCAUUCAUAGUGGUAUCCCAAAGGGAUAUCAUUCUUUUUUUUUUUUUUUUUAAUGGAGUCUCACUCUGUCACCCAGGCUGGAGUGCAGUAGCACAAUCUUGGCUCAUUGCAACCUCCGCCUCCCUGGUUCAAGCAAUUCUCCUGCCUCAGCCUCCUGAGUAGCUAGGAUUAGAGGCGCGCGUCACCAUGCCCAGCUAAUUUUUGUAAUUUUAGUAGAGACGGGUUUCAUCAUGUUGGUCAGGCUUGUCUCGAACUCCUGACCCUGUGAUCUGCCUGCCACGGCCUCCCAAAGUGCUGGGAUUACAGGCGUGAGCCACCGGGCCCGGCCUCACCGAAGGGAUAUCAUUCUUAAAGAAGCAUAGUGCAGACAAGAAUUUUAAUCUUAAUUCAUGUUUCUUUCAAAAAUUUAAGGGAGUCCAACUUAGGCCAUAACAACUCAUUAAAGUUUCUUGUUCUCUAUUCUCAAGCACCCUAAAGCUCCUAAAUCUGUUUCACCCUUCUGCUCCAACACCACUCUCUCAUCCAUGCUGUCUUUCCCCACCAUCUUGGUUCCUUGAACUUUUUUCUGCUAAUGCAUUUCUACAUAACACACUCCUUUGAAGGUGCACAGUCCUAGUAUGCUCAGCAGCUUUGGGCACCCCUGUUAUGCCAUGAUGGCCUUACAAUAGAUAAUCCGCCCAUAUAUAUUUUUUCUUUUGGUCUUUAAAGCUAGAGAAGGAAAAAAAAGUGACCUAAGAAAAAAAACGAAAUCUAAAUAGCCUUGUAUCUAUAAAAGGAUUGAAUUUACGAAUUUUUAAAAAGCUACCACAAAGAAAACUCCAGGCUCACUGGUGAAUUCUACCAAAAAUUUAAAGAGAGCCAGCGUGGUGAUUCAUGCCUGUAAUCCCAGCACUUUGGAAGGCUGAGGCAGGAGGAUCACUUGAGGCCAGGAUUGUGAGACCAGCCUGGGCUAAACAUAACAAGACCUUGUCUUUACAAAAAAGGUUUUUUUUGUUUUUUUUUUUUAAUUAGCGGUGUGUAGUGGUAUGUAUCUGCAGUUCUAGAUACUUGAAAGGUUGAGGCUAGAGGACUGCUUAAGCCCAGGAGGCUGAGGCUGCAGUGAGCCACGAACAUGCCACUGCACUCCAAUCUGGGUGACAGAGCAAGACCCUGUCUCAAGAAAAAAAAAAAAAAGUAGGGAAGCAAUAAUGUGAAUCUUACAUAAACUCUUUCAAAAAAUAGAGGAGAAGGGAUUUCAUUGUAUGAGGCUAGUAUAUCCCCAACAUCAAAACCUGACAGAGACAUUAAAAAAAAUGCAGACUGAUAGCCAUCAUGAACCUAGACAGAAAAUCCUUUUUAAAAAAUUGGUAUAUCAGCUGGGUGCAGUGGCUCACGCCUGUAAU
rnacentral:lncRNA from 1 species